GCCUGAGUGGCUCAGUCAGUUGAGCGUCUGAUUUCAGCUCAGGUCAUGAUCUCACAGUUUGUGACUUCAAGCCCCACAUCGGGCU
rfam:Felis catus isolate Cinnamon breed Abyssinian chromosome B4, whole genome shotgun sequence.